rnacentral:rRNA from 1 species
GGACCUACGGGGGGCAGCAGUGGGGAAUAUUGCACAAUGGGGGAAACCCUGAUGCAGCGACGCCGCGUGAGGGAAGACGGCCCUAUGGGUUGUAAACCUCUUUUGUCGGAGAACAAAACCCGGGACGUGUCCCGGACUGCGUGUAUCCGAAGAAAAAGCAUCGGCUAACUCCGUGCCAGCAGCCGCGGUAAUACGGAGGAUGCGAGCGUUAUCCGGAUUUAUUGGGUUUAAAGGGUGCGUAGGCGGUCCGUUAAGUCAGCGGUAAAAUUGCGGGGCUCAACCCCGUCGAGCCGUUGAAAC